UCUCGUGAUAUUGAGUGAGCGCUUGUGGGU
rnacentral:piRNA from 1 species